rnacentral:rRNA from 1 species
GUGAGUAACGCGUGGGAACGUACCUUUUGGUUCGGAACAACUGAGGGAAACUUCAGCUAAUACCGGAUAAGCCCUUACGGGGAAAGAUUUAUCGCCGAAAGAUCGGCCCGCGUCUGAUUAGCUAGUUGGUGAGGUAAUGGCUCACCAAGGCGACGAUCAGUAGCUGGUCUGAGAGGAUGAUCAGCCACAUUGGGACUGAGACACGGCCCAAACUCCUACGGGAGGCAGCAGUGGGGAAUAUUGGACAAUGGGCGCAAGCCUGAUCCAGCCAUGCCGCGUGAGUGAUGAAGGCCCUAGGGUUGUAAAGCUCUUUUGUGCGGGAAGAUAAUGACGGUACCGCAAGAAUAAGCCCCGGCUAACUUCGUGCCAGCAGCCGCGGUAAUACGAAGGGGGCUAGCGUUGCUCGGAAUCACUGGGCGUAAAGGGUGCGUAGGCGGGUCUUUAAGUCAGGGGUGAAAUCCUGGAGCUCAACUCCAGAACUGCCUUUGAUACUGAAGAUCUUGAGUUCGGGAGAGGUGAGUGGAACUGCGAGUG